CAACAAAUAUGGCGGAGAGGAGCAGGACGGCAGAGACGGGCAGUGCCAUGGGAAGUGAUGAUAUCAUAGCAGGGAACGUGAGCAAGUACAUUGUUCUCCCAGCUGGUUACUGUGGGCAGCCCAAAAAAGGACAUCUUAUAUUUGAUGCCUGUUUUGAAAGUGGGAACCUUGGCAGGGUGGACCACGUCUCAGAGUUUGAGUAUGACCUCUUCAUCAGGCCAGACACCUGCAACCCUCGCUUCCGAGUCUGGUUCAACUUCACUGUGGAAAACGUGAAGGAAUCACAGAGAGUAAUUUUCAAUGUUGUCAACUUCAGUAAAACAAAAAGCCUCUACAGAGAUGGGAUGGCUCCAAUGGUGAAAUCCACAAGUCGACCAAAAUGGCAAAGAAUCCCCUCCAAAAACGUGUAUUACUACCGCUGCCCAGACCACAGGAAGAACUAUGUCAUGUCCUUUGCUUUCUGCUUCGACCGAGAGGACGACACCUACCAGUUUGCCUACUGCUACCCCUACACCUACACUCGCCUGCAGCACUACCUGGACAACCUCCAGAGGAGGAACAUGGACUACUUCUGCAGGGAAUUACUGGGGCUCAGCGUGCAGAAGCGGCGGCUUGACCUCCUGACAAUAACCAGCCCCGAGGACAAAACUGACCUUGAGAACAGUGUGAUGCAGAAGAAAAUUAAAAUCCCCAAACUCUCUCUCAAUCACAUAGAAGAAGCUGGGGAAGUUACAGAUUAUGGGGAAGAAGAUGUGGAGCUUAGACACAGUAAGAGACAAGAUGGGAGGAAACAAAGUGAAGGUACACACAAAAGCAUUGAAGCAGUUGUUGCUCGCCUUGAGAAACAGAACGGGAUGAGUCUCAGUAAUACUUCCAGCCCUGAGGAGGCUUUUAUGGAGGCUACAGAAGGCAUGAACAAUAUGGACGAUGCUGUAGUUCCUCGGAUUCUCUAUGAGGAAUUGCUGAGGAGUUACCAGCAGCAACAGGAAGAGAUGAGACACAUUCAACAGGAGCUUGAGAGAACGCGGAGACAGCUUGUGCAACAGGCAAAGAAGCUCAAGGAGUAUGGGGCACUCGUGUCAGAAAUGAAAGAGCUCAGAGACUUGAACAGGAGGCUCCAGGAUGUACUGCUCCUAAGACUAGGUAGUGGACCUGCCAUUGAGGUUGAAAAAGUAAAACCUGAAUCAAUUGAGCCCGAACCUGAGGUACAGAAGACCUUCAGUGAGGAAGCAAAUACAUCAACGUACUACCCUGCCCCUGUUCCAGUAAUGGACAAGUAUAUUCUCGAGAAUGGAAAGGUCCAUCUUGGCAGUGGAAUUUGGGUAGAUGAGGAGAAAUGGCACCAGCUGCAAGUAACACAAGGAGAUUCAAAGUAUACAAAAAAUCUAGCGGUUAUGAUUUGGGGAACAGAUGUUCUCAAGAACAGAAGUGUCACAGGAGUUGCAACCAAAAAAAAGAAAGAUGCCGUUCCCAAGCCACCUCUCUCACCUCACAAAUUAAGCAUUGUCAGAGAAUGUUUGUAUGAUAGAAUAGCACAAGAAACUGUGGAUGAAACUGAAAUUGCACAGAGACUCUCCAAAGUCAACAAGUACAUCUGUGAAAAAAUCAUGGAUAUCAAUAAAUCAUGUAAAAAUGAAGAAAGGAGGGAAAUUGCAAAGUACAAUUUGCAAUAAAUUUUGGAUUUUUAAUAAAGUCUUAGUGUUUUACUUAAGUGUUGGUUUUUGAUUUGUGUGGCAUUUUUGCUGAUGGGAGAAGCUGAAUUGAAGCGUUGCUCUCUUCCUAUAACUGAUUCGUUUUUUGAGCAGUUCUGUCAUGGUGUAAACUGCUUUUAACUAAUGUAAGAUAUAUUGUAAGUUCACUCCCAAUGAAAACUGAAGUUUCCAAGGUUUCUCCAGCGAGUUGCAGUUUGUUACCUGCGGUUGUACAUUGGUUCUGGCUCUGUGGACACCGACCCGUUUGCCCUGCGUUGAGUUUUGCUGGAGUUAGUGGAUCUCAGCUGCAGUAAAACAUCUGCUUAGAAGGAAGAACUGUACAAAAUUCACUUUGCUAUUGGAAAGGAUUUUACUGUAUUUUACAAAGUGUUUUUUUCUGAAAUGAAAUUUCAAUCGUUUGUUUUUAUAAAUCUUUGUUUUGAUCUCUAACAAUAUAUUUGAUCAAAAAUACACAAAGAACGUUUCUUUUUCAAUUAUCUUGUAGGCAGAUCACUAUUACCAUCACAGUUAAAAAAAUAAAAACUAAACGAUGAACAACAAAGAACCCAAAGCUGUAAGCUGUAAAAUCAUGAUAAUUCAUUUUAACAAAUAAAUCUAAAACCACUUCUUUUACAGGGACCAAGACACUUCAAAUUUCUGGUUGUGGUAUAAAGUUUCUCAGUGUGUCCAUACUAUUGUUCUUGAAAUAUUACCUUUUUAGUGUAUUUGUACUUUCAAACAAUUUAAAAUUUGCCACACUAUGGCAAGAGUAUGUACAGUAGAAAAUUUAGUACAAUUUUGUUUGCGUCCAUAAUUUAAAAAUGGACACUUUUAGCACAAAUUUUAAUUACAAAUAAAAAUAAUUUUCUACAUUGAAGUUAGACUUGCGAUGCAAAGUUUUUAGAAAUAAUUUGUCAUAAAAAAUGUCAUUUGUCAUUGAACUAUAUGUUAUUGCGUGUAAGUGAAGCAAAAUAUUCUCUUUUCAUGAAGGAUUUAGAGAUAAUUUGAGAUCUGGAUUGAUGAAUUUUGAGGGUUUGUGAUCUCACUUAGCCUUCCAUUUAUUCUGUGCUCACAGCUGUGAUUGUCUCCCUUGCAGCCUACCUGUUCCCAAGUGUCAGCAUUUGUUUCUUUACCACUGCAAUUCUGUUUCCUGUAGUCUUGAAAAACUUCCCAUUUCUUAUCACCUUCCUGUAGCACUGGUUCACCCUGAGGUGAAGCCUUUUUCAGUGUCCUAUAAUGUAGAUAAUGUGGAAAGGAACAGGCUGCUCGGGUGGACUCACUAUGCCUGGAAGUAUUUAAAUGAUAAAAGAUAAAGAUGUGGCACUUGGGGACAUGGGUUAGUGGUGGGAUAGGCAGUGCUGGGUGAAUGCCUGGACUUGGUGAUCUUAAAGGUAUUUUCCAACCUAAAUGAUACCAUAAUUCUUUAAUGUGGAGGGAUAGAAGGUAAGAGAAUAGUGCAGAAGGCAAUCUCACACCUGAGGACUUGCAGCUGUGCUCAUCACCAAAGAUUAAGAACAGCCCUGAACUUAAUAGGCCACAGCUGUGUCCAAUGAGGAGAUGAGUGCUACAAAAGAGGGGGUUAGCUGGGGGAGAGGACAGCUGGAAUUUGUUGGUUGUGCUGUGAAGAAGAGUCAGUGCUGUGAGGAGCUGUCCAUGAGAAAUCACUGAAAAGAAUUCCAUUCGGCCCAAAGCUUUCCCCUAUUGUAAGACUAAAGAAAUCCCCAUGAAGCUUCAGUUACUGCAGUUUGUGAAGAUCUCUGUUUUUCUGCACGUUUGGAAUUGUCAGGGACAGACAUUUCAGCCUUUGUGUGUACAGGAGCAAAUGACAGGAGUCAGGAGCUGAUCUGUCUAAUGCCUUCUGACAAUGGGUGUGUGGAUUUUACAGCACCAAAAUCAGUGAAUUAUUCAAAGGUUUUGCACCAGAUUAGAGCUUACAAAGCCCAAAGAGACUUGUGGAAGCUGGGACAUGCCUGUGCUGGCUCUGGUGCCACUUUUCCCAGACAUCAGCUGAGGUAACAACUCUGUCUUGCACUGCUGGCUGUCCCCUCAUGUGCUGCUUGGAAAACACAGUAACUGGUUUGCUCACGUAGAGAAAAACUUUUCUGCCUUGCAUUCUCUGUAUGGCCUUUUGAUAUUAACAGCUGACAGAUUUCCACUUCUUUGCAUUUUUUAUCUGCUUUGUAUAUGCCAUUUGUUAUCUCUUUUGUAUAUGACAACAGCAUAAAGCUUUUGUUGUACACAUUUUUAAUAAAGAAAGCCAAAAUAUUUGAAAGCUAAA